AAAAGAGUACAGAUCGGAUAAAGUUUUAAUGUCCACAGUCCAUAUUACAAUAAUGGUCCAUAUUACAAUAACAGUCCAUAUGAACUAGAUAAAAGUAACACUAAUCUUGGCUGAAAUCAGCAAAAGCUUGUUCAAUCUCAGGAUCUUCAAGUUGAUGCUGCUUUCUAUCUUCUGCUCUUUUCCAGUCCUUAAGGCAGGUGAUGGCCUCCACUGUCUCAGGUGAAAGAGAGGACCUCCUUUCUUCAAUAAUUCUACCCACUGUGCUAAAUGUUGCUUCAGAGGAAACAGUUGAAACAGGAACAAGAAGAAUAUCUCUAGCAAAAUGAGAUAAUACUGGAAAACUGUACUUGUGUUCCCUCCACCAUUCAAGUAAUUUUACCUUAUCUCCCUUCAAGGUGCGAUCAGUGGCUGCAAAGUUAGUAGACAGAUAAUGAUUCAAUUCAGCAUUAGGAUUCCACCUUUGAUUUACUGUUGAGUUAGCAGAUUCUUUUCCCUUCGAUCUCUUCCAUAAGUGGGCUAUCAAAGAACUAUCUGAUUGUUCUAUGUCAGUUUCAUCCAUUGUUCCUGUAACAUCACUUUCACCAUAUUUGUUAUAGUAAAAGCCAAAAACACGAAAUAAUUCAUCUUUCACAUGAUUAAAAGCAUCUGAAUAGUCCAUAUCUAGCAAGUCACCAAUUCCUUCUAAAGCAGAUUGUAACCCAUCAAGUUUAUUUCUAGGAUCCAAAAUAGUUGCAAAGCAAUAUAUAUGGGAUAUGUUAUCAAAGUAUUUUAGAAAUUUUAGUUCCAUUGGAGCAACAACAGUGCAAAGAAGGGAAUCAGAUCUGUGCUUAGCAAAUGACUCAGCAAUUAACCAAAUGUAAUCAAUGACUAAGCAGGAUGUAGGAUAGUAAACACCUGAUAAAACAUUUGUGGCUACAUAAAAGGGCAUCAAGAACGCUCUAAAAUGUUUGACCAUAUACCAAUCAGCUUCAGUUAGAACCAAAUCAAUAUCAAGAGCAUUAGCAUUCACAAAGACAGUUAUAAUCUUUUCAUAACCUUCUAGUUUCUUAAGCAUAAGGUAGGUCAAAUUCCAUCUUAUCUUCAUAUCAAGGCCAAAUUUCCUUGAUUUCAUAUUAUUUGCCUUGCAAUACUCACUAAAUUUAUUAAUCAUUUGAGGAGUACUAGUUAUGAAACGAACAGCAUCACGAACAUUAUCCAAAUACUUACUAACAACUGUUAUGCCAUCCUGAACAACCAGAUUAAUAAUGUGGCACACACACCUUUGGUGGACGACAUAACCAUCUAUGUAUGACUUCAGAUGAGGGGCAAGAGAGUCUAUCGCAUUUGUAUUUGAGGAAGCAUUAUCAAGAGUAAUAGAUAGAAUUUUAUUCCUUAUAUUAAAAUCAUUAACCACCUCAAGAAUAUGAUUAGCAAUUGCAGUACCAGUAUGUGAAUCAUACAUCACUCUAAAACCUAUAACACGCUUAUGAAGACAAUAUGAAUUAUCCAAAUAGUGUGCAACAACAGAAAUGUAACUAGUCUUUUGAUGUGAUGAAGUCCAAAUAUCUGAAGUUAAAGCAAACGAAAACUGAACUUUUUUAAAAUUUUCUUUAAGAACAGCAAGUUGUUUGUGAUACUGAGACAUCAAAUCAGAUUUUAUAGUAGUUCUACUAACAGGUUGGUAUUGUGGGCAGAAAGCACGCUGAAUCAGAUUCUUAAAAUUAGGGCUUUCUCCCAUCAUAAUAGGUAAGUGUUCAGAAACAAUGUAUUUAAUAAUUUCUUCACGAGCUAGUUGAGGAUUGUAAACCCAAGUACUUACAGUGCCGUCUGCGGCGAAGUUUAGUUGAGUUUGCACACCUGUACCAAAAGUUUGCCCUGCCUUCUUCAUACAAGCUCUGAAGUGUCGAUUCAAAUGCCCAGUGCCACCAGCAGAAUCUGCACUCAACUCAGUUUUACAAUAGUGACAUACAGCAAUAUAACUUUUUAUACCAUUCUCAACAAUCUCUCGCUUAUCCAUAUGCUUCCAGCACUCUGCCCUUGAAACAAUUGGUUUAGCACCCUUUACUGGCACUGGCACAUCACCACCAAUAUCCCCAUCACCAUUAGAAACACCUCCAGUACCAUUUGAUGGUACUGGUAAGGAACCAUCUAUCCUACUACGACCAGGUAAGGGACAUGAACCAGGUAAGGAACUAGAACCAGGUAAGGGACAUGAACCAGGUAAGGGACUAGAACUAGGUAAGGGACUAGAAACACCUCCAGUACCAUCUGAUAGUUCGCUAGGAUUGCUGGAAUCAUCUAUCCUACUAGGACCAGAAGCUUUUCUAACAACUAACCUCUUCCUCCCCAUUGUAGAAGUGUAGAACCAGACAUAGAACCACAGGA
rnacentral:lncRNA from 1 species